UUCUUAAAAAUCAAAUAAUUUGGCGGUAUUUUAGUCUUAUCAGAGGAACCUGUCCUAUAAUCGAUAAUCCACGAAUUUAACAACUUAUUUUAUAGUUUACAUAUCGUUGUAUUAAAUAUUUUUUUAGAAUAGAAAUAUUUGAGAUUUUUGAUUUAAAAAUUAAUCAAAUCAAGGUGUAGUUUAUAUUUAAGGAGAGAUGGGUUACAUUGAAUUUAUCAAUAUGGAAAUUUAUAUUUAAAAUAGAUUGAAGGUGGAUUUGAAGGUAAUUUUAUUUUAUAUUUUUAAAAUGGUUAAGCUCUGAAAUAUGCACAUAUCGCCCGUCGCUUUCAUUUUAAGGUGAAAUAAGUCGUAACAAAGUAGGCCUACUGGAAAGUAGGCCUAGAUCAAAUUAGAGCUUUAAAAGCAUUUUAGUUACAUUAAAAAGAGAUUGUUUAUUCAAUUAGUUUGAAUAUAGAUUAUUAUUUUAAGUUUAGAUUUUUAUUUUUGAAAAAAGAAAAUUUAUGUUUUAGUAAAGUAGAAAAAAUUUUAUUUUAUUAUAGUUGAAAGUAUUGUGAAAGAAUUUUUUUAAUAUUAAAAAGAUGAAAAUUUUUGUACCUGGGUAUCAGGGUUUACUAAGUAAAAUUUAAUAAUUUAAUUUUCCCGAAUUUAAAAGAGCUAAUUUUUUAUAUAUUUUAUUGUGAAAUAAAUAUUUAAAAUAAAUUAUUAGAAAUGAAAACGUUAGUCGUUUUUGAAGAUAUCUGGUUAUUUAAGAAAAAAAUUUAAUUUUUAUACUGAAAAAUAAAAGUUUAAUUUUUUAUUAUUUUGUUUUCAGUAGAAAGUAUUUUUAGGGAUGAGCUUAAAAAUAAAUUUUAAUAAAUUAAUAAUUGAAAUUUUUUUAUAGGAUUAAAAUUUUCCAUUAAAGAAAGUUUGUUAUAAAUUGAAAUUAUAAGAAUAAGAUUUAUAUUAGUUUUUAAUUUUUUAUUAAAUUAAAGUCUAUAAUUUUUUUAGAAAGGAGAUAAUGGUAGAAUUAGUAAAUUUAAAUUUAAAUUUAAUUAAAAUUGUUAGUUAAGUUGAAGGAACUCGGCAAUUAAGUUUUUCACCUGUUUAUUAAAAACAUGGCUUUUUGUAUAUGAUUAAAAGUCAAACCUGCCCCCUGAGGUAUUAAAUGGCUGCGGUAAUUUGACCGUACUAAGGUAGCAUGAUAAUUAGUUUUUUAAUUGAAAGCUUGUAUGAACGGUAUAAUGAGAAAACGACUGUCUCUAAUUUAUUUUUAUUGAAUUUUAUUAUUAAGUAAAAAGGCUUAAAUAUUAUUAAAAGACGAGAAGACCCUGUAGAGUUUUAUAAAUAUAGAUUGUUUAAUAAAUUGGAAUAAUU
rnacentral:rRNA from 1 species